rnacentral:rRNA from 1 species
GUGCCAGCCGCCGCGGUAAGACGAAGGGGGCUAGCGUUGUUCGGAAUUACUGGGCGUAAAGCGAGUGUAGGUGGUUGUCGUAGUCAGGCGUGAAAGCCUUGAGCUCAACUCAAGAAAUGCGCUUGAUACUGGGCAGCUAGAGGACCGGAGAGGAUAGUGGAAUUCCCAGUGUAGUGGUGAAAUACGUAGAGAUUGGGAAGAACACCAGUGGCGAAGGCGGCUAUCUGGACGGUUUCUGACACUAAGACUCGAAAGCGUGGGGAGCAAACAGGAUUAGAUACCCCGGUAGUCC